UAAUACGUAGGGACCGAGCGUUGUCCGGAUUCAUUGGGCGUAAAGAGCUCGUAGGCGGCCACUCAAGUCGAAUGUGAAACCUCGAGGCUUAACCUCGAGCCUGCAUUCGAUACUGGGCGGCUAGAGUCUGGUAGGGGGAUCUGGAAUUCCUGGUGUAGCGGUGGAAUGCGCAGAUAUCAGGAGGAACACCGGUGGCGAAGGCGGGAUCCUGGGCCA
rnacentral:rRNA from 1 species